AUCUAAAUAGUUUAAAAAAAAUGUUGAUUUGUGGUGUCAAAGAUAUAGGAAUAUUUUAGAUU
rnacentral:tRNA from 1 species